rnacentral:rRNA from 1 species
AUACGUAUGUCGCAAGCGUUAUCCGGAUUUAUUGGGCGUAAAGCGCGUCUAGGCGGCUUAGUAAGUCUGAUGUGAAAAUGCGGGGCUCAACCCCGUAUUGCGUUGGAAACUGCUAAACUAGAGUACUGGAGAGGUAGGCGGAACUACAAGUGUAGAGGUGAAAUUCGUAGAUAUUUGUAGGAAUGCCGAUGGGGAAGCCAGCCUACUGGACAGAUACUGACGCUAAAGCGCGAAAGCGUGGGUAGCAAACAGGAUUAGAUACCCUGGUAGUCCACGCCGUAAACGAUGAUUACUAGGUGUUGGGGGUCGAACCGCAGCGCCCAAGCUAACGCGAUAAGUAAUCCGCCUGGGGAGUACGUACGCAAGUAUGAAACUCAAAGGAAUUGACGGGG